rnacentral:rRNA from 1 species
UACGUAGGGGGCUAGCGUUGUCCGGAAUCAUUGGGCGUAAAGCGCGUGUAGGCGGUUCGGUAAGUCCGCUGUGAAAGUCGGGGGCUCAACCCUCGGAUGCCGGUGGAUACUGUCGGGCUCGAGUCCGGAAGAGGAGUGUGGAAUUCCUGGUGUAGCGGUGAAAUGCGCAGAUAUCAGGAGGAACACCAAUGGCGAAGGCAGCACUCUGGGACGUGACUGACGCUGAGACGCGAAAGCGUGGGGAGCAAACAGG